CACGUAGGGUGCGAGCGUUGUCCGGAAUUAUUGGGCGUAAAGAGCUCGUAGGCGGUGUGUCGCGUCGGCCGUGAAAACCUGCAGCUUAACUGUGGGCUUGCGGUCGAUACGGGCAUCACUGGAGUUCGGCAGGGGAGACUGGAAUCCUGGUGUAGCGGUGAAAUGCGCAGAUAUCGCUUGGAACGCCGAAGGUGAAAACAGGUCGCUGGGGGAUGUGCCGACGUGAGACACGAAAGCCAGGGGAGCAAACGGG
rnacentral:rRNA from 1 species